AUUGAAUACUAAUUUCUAUCUUUAAUCUUUACAGGUAAAGGACUUGAUCUUGAUUUGUGUACUGAAUCUGUGUCGGUGAAAGAUGGCAGAGGUGAAUGGAAACAACAUGGAAGAAGAGGUGGUACUGGUAGCAGGGAAUAAUAGUAAUAAUAAUAAAAAAUAUGAUUUUAUUGAUCCUUAUGAUCCUUAUUGGGAUGGGAAACCUUACCCAACACCAAAAUCCAAGCCCAUCUACCCCUACCCAGAUCAGCCAGAAGAUUUUGAAGAAGAUUUGUUAAUUGUUGUAAACCAACUGAAACUCACUGAUGGUUUUCAUGUUGAUUACCUUCCUAAAGGCAGAAGGUAGUGGCUUGCGUUUAACGUGCACUCUGCUGAUGAUGAAGGGGGUUGGAAAGCAUCUCUUGUAGCAGUUGCUGAAUUUAACAGGCUCAAGGGUGCUGAUUUGAAGCUUAGCAAGGUUCUGAGUGUGUUAUCUGGGAUGGCUGCAGGAGUGCAUUACGAUUUGAUGUUGCAAUGUACUGAUGGUUGCUUCUAUGAAGCUAGGAUCUUCAUGGAAAUUGGCGAUGCUACCGAGUUAAUAACAUUUAGGCCUGCAAAACAUUGGCCAAGGCCAACAAUGAUGUAAGAAUUUAGUAGAUAAGAAGAUUGUGAAGAGGAGGAACUAGCCAAUUAGGUGGUGCUGAAACCUCAUGAACAUAGAUGGUACCAAUGAACUAGGAAGAACUAGAAGACUUGGGGGAAGAAAAUACCUUUUUUCAUUU